UGUUCCGUGCUGUUCUGGGCUGUUCCGGUGUUCCGGAACAGAACACUAAUCCGGAACACCGGAACAGCACGGAACAGCCCGGAACACCU